GACGAACGCUGGCGGCGUGCUUAACACAUGCAAGUCGAACGGAAAGGCCCUGCUUUUGUGGGGUGCUCGAGUGGCGAACGGGUGAGUAACACGUGAGUAACCUGCCCUGGACUUUGGGAUAACUUCAGGAAACGGGGGCUAAUACCGGAUAGGAGCUCCUGCGGCAGGGGGGGGGUGGGAAAGUUUCGGCGGUUGGGGAUGGACUCGCGGCUUAUCAGCUUGUUGGUGGGGUAGUGACUUACCAAGGCUUUGACGGGUAGCCGGCCUGAGAGGGUGACCGGCCACAUUGGGACUGAGAUACGGCCCAGACCCCUACGGGAGGCAGCAGUGGGGAAUAUUGCACAAUGGGCGGAAGCCUGAUGCAGCAACGCCGCGUGCGGGAUGACGGCCUUCGGGUUGUAAACCGCUUUCGCCUGUGACGAAGCGUGAGUGACGGUAAUGGGUAAAGAAGCACCGGCUAACUACGUG
rnacentral:rRNA from 1 species